rnacentral:rRNA from 1 species
GAUGAACGCUGGCGGCGUGCUUAACACAUGCAAGUCGAGCGAAGCACUUGAACGGAUUUCUUCGGAUUGAAGUUUUUGUGACUGAGCGGCGGACGGGUGAGUAACGCGUGGGUAACCUGCCUCAUACAGGGGGAUAACAGUUAGAAAUGGCUGCUAAUACCGCAUAAGCGCACAGGACCGCAUGGUCUGGUGUGAAAAACUCCGGUGGUAUGAGAUGGACCCGCGUCUGAUUAGCUAGUUGGAGGGGUAACGGCCCACCAAGGCGACGAUCAGUAGCCGGCCUGAGAGGGUGAACGGCCACAUUGGGACUGAGACACGGCCCAGACUCCUACGGGAGGCAGCAGUGGGGAAUAUUGCACAAUGGGGGAAACCCUGAUGCAGCGACGCCGCGUGAAGGAAGAAGUAUCUCGGUAUGUAAACUUCUAUCAGCAGGGAAGAAGAUGACGGUACCUGACUAAGAAGCCCCGGCUAACUACGUGCCAGCAGCCGCGGUAAUACGUAGGGGGCAAGCGUUAUCCGGAUUUACUGGGUGUAAAGGGAGCGUAGACGGAAGAGCAAGUCUGAUGUGAAAGGCUGGGGCUUAACCCCAGGACUGCAUUGGAAACUGUUUUUCUAGAGUGCCGGAGAGGUAAGCGGAAUUCCUAGUGUAGCGGUGAAAUGCGUAGAUAUUAGGAGGAACACCAGUGGCGAAGGCGGCUUACUGGACGGUAACUGACGUUGAGGCUCGAAAGCGUGGGGAGCAAACAGG